rnacentral:rRNA from 1 species
UACGAAGGGGGCUAGCGUUGCUCGGAAUCACUGGGCGUAAAGCGCACGUAGGCGGGUCGUUAAGUCGGGGGUGAAAUCCUGGAGCUCAACUCCAGAACUGCCUUCGAUACUGGCGAUCUUGAGUCUGGGAGAGGUGAGUGGAACUCCGAGUGUAGAGGUGAAAUUCGUAGAUAUUCGGAAGAACACCGGUGGCGAAGGCGGCCUGCUGGGCAGUGGCUGACGCUGAGGCGCGACAGCGUGGGGAGCAAACAGG